rnacentral:rRNA from 1 species
UACAGAGGUGGCAAGCGUUGUUCGGAAUUACUGGGCGUAAAGGGCGCGUAGGCGGUUCGUUAAGUCCUGUGUGAAAUCCCCCGGCUCAACUGGGGAACUGCACAGGAUACUAGCGGGCUUGAGUUCGGGAGAGGGAAGCGGAAUUCCGGGUGUAGCGGUGAAAUGCGUAGAUAUCCGGAGGAACACCGGUGGCGAAGGCGGCUUCCUGGACCGACACUGACGCUGAGGCGCGAAAGCUAGGGGAGCAAACGGG